CAAAUCUUGACAUCCUUUGACAACUCUAGAGAUAGAGCCUUCCCCUUCGGGGGACAAAGUGACAGGGGGUGCAUGGUUGUCGUCAGCUCGUGUCGUGAGAUGUUGGGUUAAGUCCCGCAACGAGCGCAACCCUUAAGCUUAGUUGCCAUCAUUAAGUUGGGCACUCUAAGUUGACUGCCGGUGACAAACCGGAGGAAGGUGGGGAUGACGUCAAAUCAUCAUGCCCCUUAUGAUUUGGGCUACACACGUGCUACAAUGGACAAUACAAAGGGCAGCGAAACCGCGAGGUCAAGCAAAUCCCAUAAAGUUGUUCUCAGUUCGGAUUGUAGUCUGCAACUCGACUACAUGAAGCUGGAAUCGCUAGUAAUCGUAGAUCAGCAUGCUACGGUGAAUACGUUCCCGGGUCUUGUACACACCGCCCGUCACACCACGAGAGUUUGUAACACCCGAAGCCGG
rnacentral:rRNA from 1 species